rnacentral:rRNA from 1 species
AAACGUAGGUGGCAAGCGUUGUCCGGAAUUACUGGGUGUAAAGGGAGCGCAGGCGGGGUGCCAAGUUGGGCGUGAAAACUAUGGGCUCAACCCAUAGAUUGCGCUCAAAACUGGCGCUCUUGAGUGAUGGAGAGGCAGGCGGAAUUCCCGGUGUAGCGGUGGAAUGCGUAGAUAUCGGGAGGAACACCAGUGGCGAAGGCGGCCUGCUGGACAUUAACUGACGCUGAGGCUCGAAAGCAUGGGUAGCAAACAGGAUUAGAUACCCUGGUAGUCCAUGCCGUAAACGAUGAUUACUAGGUGUAGGGGGAUAGACCCCCUCUGUGCCGCAGCUAACGCAAUAAGUAAUCCACCUGGGGAGUACGGCCGCAAGGCUGAAACUCAAAGGAAUUGACGGGG